rnacentral:rRNA from 1 species
CCGCCGGCGACCGGCGCACGGGUGAGUAACACGUAUGCAACCUGGUCGCCACAGGGGGAUAACCCGCGGAAACGCGGCCUAAUACCCCGUGACGCCACCGGAGGGCAUCCUCCGGUGGCCAAAGGAGCGAUCCGGUGGCGGAUGGGCAUGCGGCGCAUUAGCUAGACGGCGGGGUGACGGCCCACCGUGGCGACGAUGCGUAGGGGUUCUGAGAGGAAGGCCCCCCACACUGGGACUGAGACACGGCCCAGACUCCUACGGAAGGCAGCAG